rnacentral:rRNA from 1 species
GAUGAACGCUGGCGGCGUGCUUAACACAUGCAAGUCGAACGAAGCAUUUGCGACAGAUUUUUUCGGAAUGAAGUUGCUUAUGACUGAGUGGCGGACGGGUGAGUAACGCGUGGGUAACCUGCCUUGUACUGGGGGAUAGCAGCUGGAAACGGCUGGUAAUACCGCAUAAGCGCACAAUGUUGCAUGACAUGGUGUGAAAAACUCCGGUGGUAUAAGAUGGACCCGCGUCUGAUUAGCUAGUUGGUGAGAUAACAGCCCACCAAGGCGACGAUCAGUAGCCGACCUGAGAGGGUGACCGGCCACAUUGGGACUGAGACACGGCCCAGACUCCUACGGGAGGCAGCAGUGGGGAAUAUUGCACAAUGGAGGAAACUCUGAUGCAGCGACGCCGCGUGAGUGAAGAAGUAAUUCGUUAUGUAAAGCUCUAUCAGCAGGGAAGAUAGUGACGGUACCGGACUAAGAAGCUCCGGCUAAAUACGU